rnacentral:tRNA from 1 species
UCGGGCGUUGUCUAGUGGCUAGGAUAUCUGGCUUUCACCCAGAAGGCCUGGGUUCGAUUCCCGGCGUCGGAA